rnacentral:pre_miRNA from 1 species
CACAUGUUUGACCAUUCGUCUUAUUCAAAAAAUUUACGUAAUUGUAAUUUAUUUUGUUAUGAGUUGUUUUAUCACUCAUAGUACUUUAAGUGUGAUUUAUAUUUUAUACAUUUGCAUAUAAUUUUUAAAGAAGACGAAUGGUCAAAUAUGUGAGAAAAAAUCAACGGCGUCAUCUA